GUGUUCGCUUUAACAGCACAUAUACUAAAAUUGGAAUAAUAGAAAGUUAGCAUGGCCCCUGCACAAGGAUGACAUGCAGAUUCCUAAAGCACCGUCCCUCCACUCGUUUUU